rnacentral:pre_miRNA from 1 species
UAUUAAAAUUUCACUAUUUUAUUAUUAAAAACUGACGUAGCUGACAGAAUAACUAAAUGGUGACACAUGGCAUGUUACGUGUACUUCAUGUUGAUGUACAAAUCAUUUUUUAACAGUAACAAUAGGUGUAAUUUUUAAUA